CAUAAGAGCCGACGUUAACAGAAUGGCAAUGGCCGCGGCCAGUGUGAUUGACGCUCGAUUUUUGAUUACUGGUAUAUAUAUGUUUUGAUUUAUUUAUUAGAUAUUGUGAUUGAAGAUCGAUGUUUGAGUAUAUGUUCCCAAGCUUAACAUUAUGGCUGCAGGUAUUCUAACACCUCGGCGCAUAUACUAUAAAGCAAAUAUAUGUGUGCUUUGUGGAUUCUCAUUUGUUCAAUCAGAGAUAACUUCAACAGGGGAAACGAUUGAAAGAAAUCUAUUUAACAAAAAGCUGAAAUUAACAGACGAUAAAGUCAAAUCUAUACAGCACGUACUUAGUGAAUUUCAACACGACAGUGUUAGCUCCAGCAAUGGUGUUUGUAAAAAUUGCUAUAGAACUGUUGAAAGGAUAAUUAAGAUAGAAAAGGAAGUGGAACAGUUACAGAUAGAAAUAUCUAGAUCCAGAUCUUCGGUUAGGACAAAAUACCAGUUGGCAACACCAUCCCCUACAAAAUCAAAAAUUGAAAAAAGAUUGCGAAUAUCACCAGAAAAAACUGUGAAAAGACCAUUUCCGUCAUCAUUUAAGAAAGUUACAGUUGUGAACAUUCCACCAAUACCAACAAUUUUGCCCAAAACGGAAAAGAAUGAGCCAGUAUGUAAGCCAUUGAGUGUAAGAAGAUCUCUGCCAUUUUCAACUGUUGAGAAUGUUCAAGAUAAGACAGAUAGUUCACUGGAAGGAGAAGUUGAAACAGUUUUAUUUUGCAUGGAAUUACUUAUUUUUCCAUCAACUGCUGCUGAUUUAGCCAUUUGUGACUAACAAGACACAAAGAUCACCAUUCACUACAAGAGUGGAAAAAAACAAAAGUUUAUUGCCAAUCCAAGCCACAAAACCAUUUGUAAAGCUUUACUUAAAGAAAAAGAUGCAGAAAAAACUAUGCUUGAUGUUUUAAAGAAAUCAAAUCCAUCAUAUCUAGUAAACCAGAGUUGUGAAAUAAUUGGCGAUGAAUGUGAAAAGAUAUGCAAGCGCAACAGUGGAAGCGUACUCCAGGAUCGAACAUAUCAUGGUAUAUUGAAUUUUUCAUGGGAUGAAUUGGAAGGAGAAUUACAAACUCUUGCCCCAAAUUUACUUCAAAUAGUAAAAAGCAUUGUUUCAGACAAACCAUCAUCUAUGUCUGACAGAUGUCGCAUACAGAUGCUGAACGCCAUUGCUUGUGCACUACAUGCAAGGUCCAGAGAAAUGACAGCACUUCAAUAUUUAACAGGAUUAAUCUUACUUCAUGGAGGCUCCACUC